CCUAGGGGCACGAACCGGAUUAGAUACCCGGGUAGUCCUAGGUGUAAACGCUGUGGACUUGAUGUUGGGAGUGCUCCGAGCGCCCUCAGUGUCGAAGCGAAGGUGAUAAGUCCACUGCCUGGGGAGUACGGUCGCAAGGCUGAAACUUAAAGGAAUUGGCGGGGGAGCACUGCAACCUGAGGAUUGUGCGGUUUAAUUGGAUUCAACGCCGGAAAACUCACCAUAGCCGACGGACAAAUGAAAGCCAGCGUAACGAGCUUGCUGGAUUGUUCGAGAGGUAGUGCAUGGCCGUCGUCAGUUCGUACCGCAAGGCGUUCUGUUAAGUCAGAUAACGAACGAGACCCUCAUCCCUAUUUGCCAAGAUCUGUCCGCAGAUCAAGGGACUAUAGGGAGACCGCUGGCGCGAAGUCAGAGGAAGGCGAGGGCAACGGUAGGUCAGUAUGCUCCGAAUGCUAUGGGCUACACGCGCAAUACAAAGGACGGGACAAUGGGCUGCAACUCCGAGAGGAUAGACGCUAUCCCGAAACCCGUUCGUAGUUCGGAUUGAGGGCUGUAACUCGCCCUCAUGAAGCUGGAUUAGGUAGUAAUCGCGUCUCAAAAAGGCGCGGUGAAUAUGCCCCUGCUCCUUGCACACACCGCCCGUCAAACCAUCUUAGUUGUGGGUGGGUGAGGCUGCCUCUCUGUGUGGUAUUCGAGCCUGCCUUCGACAAGGAGGGUUAAGUCGUAACAAGGUAUCUGUAGGGGAACCUGCAGAUG
rnacentral:rRNA from 1 species